rnacentral:lncRNA from 1 species
AGAAGGAUGAGGGAAAAUGGAGCUGGGAAGAAGCUGCGUGCAUGGUGUGUCGGGAGUGGUAGGCAAAAGGAAACCAGACACCAGAUCUCCGAGCAAUACCAGCACAUUAGUGUUUUGCCGGACUCACUAAAGAAGAAUAAAAAGUUGUACCGUAAUUAACUCGCAGCCUGCGUUAAACAGUCCAACAUACUUUGUUUUGUGAUAAAAAAGAGAGAACAUGUACAGUGAUUAAUUCAGAGUAUCUUUUCAUUGUUCUCA